CUGCACAGCAAGAAGGAGUGCCCAUCCACCGCGUGGCCGGGACAUCUCCGGGGACACGCAGAAGGCCAAGCAGUUCCUGCCGUUCCUGCAGCGCGCCGGCCGCUCGGAGGCCGUGGUCGAAUACGUCUUCAGUGGGUCCAGGCUCAAACUCUUCCUGCCCAAAGAGACUUGUCUCAUCACCUUCCUGCUGGCUGGCAUCGAAUGCCCCCGCGGUGCACGCAACCUCCCCGGGAUGGUGCAAGAAGGGGAACCCUUCAGCGAGGAAGCAACGCAGUUCACCAAGGAGCUGGUGCUGCAGCGAGAGGUAGGGAUGGAACCGUGCAUGCAUGGGGGGUUGCA